GCCGGGCGUGGUGGCUCACGCCUGUAAUCCCAGCACUUUGGGAGGCUGAGGUGGGUGGAUCACCUGAGGUCAGGAGUUCGAGACCAGCCUGACCAACAUCGUGAAACCCCAUCUCUA
rnacentral:SRP_RNA from 1 species